rnacentral:rRNA from 1 species
GACGAACGCUGGCGGCGUGCUUAACACAUGCAAGUCGAACGGAAAGGCCCUGCUUUUGUGGGGUGCUCGAGUGGCGAACGGGUGAGUAACACGGGAGUAACCUGCCCUUGACUUUGGGAUAACUUCAGGAAACUGGGGCUAAUACCGGAUAGGAGCUCCUGCUGCAUGGUGGGGGUUGGAAAGUUUCGGCGGUUGGGGAUGGACUCGCGGCUUAUCAGCUUGUUGGUGGGGUAGUGGCUUACCAAGGCUUUGACGGGUAGCCGGCCUGAGAGGGUGACCGGCCACAUUGGGACUGAGAGACGGCCCAGACUCCUACGGGAGGCAGCAGUGGGGAAUAUUGCACAAUGGGCGGGAGCCUGAUGCAGCAGCGCCGCGUGCGGGAUGACGGCCUUCGGGUUGUAAACCGCUUUCGCCUGUGACGAAGCGUGAGUGACGGUAAUGGGUAAAGAAGCACCGGCUAACUACGUG